AGUGAACGCUGGCGGUAGGCCUAACACAUGCAAGUCGAACGACAGCACAGUAAGAGCUUGCUCUUACGGGUGGCGAGUGGCGGACGGGUGAGGAAUACAUCGGAAUCUACUUUUUCGUGGGGGAUAACGUAGGGAAACUUACGCUAAUACCGCAUACGACCUACGGGUGAAAGCAGGGGAUCUUCGGACCUUGCGCGGUUGAAUGAGCCGAUGUCGGAUUAGCUAGUUGGCGGGGUAAAGGCCCACCAAGGCGACGAUCCGUAGCUGGUCUGAGAGGAUGAUCAGCCACACUGGAACUGAGACACGGUCCAGACUCCUACGGGAGGCAGCAGUGGGGAAUAUUGGACAAUGGGCGCAAGCCUGAUCCAGCCAUACCGCGUGGGUGAAGAAGGCCUUCGGGUUGUAAAGCCCUUUUGUUGGGAAAGAAAAGCAGCAGGUUAAUACCCCGCUGUUCUGACGGUACCCAAAGAAUAAGCACCGGCUAACUUCGUG
rnacentral:rRNA from 1 species